rnacentral:tRNA from 3 species
GCGGAUAUCGUAUAAUGGAUAUUACCUCAGCCUUCCAAGCUGAUGACGUGGGUUCGAUUCCCACUAUCCGCU